AUGGCUAAGCCUCUCGGGCAAUUAGUACAUGUUAGCUCAAUGGCUCGCACCACUUACACACCAUGCCUAUCUACGUCUUCGUCUUAAACAACCCUUACAGAUUUAUAAUCUGGGAGAACUCAUCUCUUGGCAAGUUUCGUGCUUAGAUGCUUUCAGCACUUAUCUCUUCCGCACUUAGCUACCCGGCAAUGCGUCUGGCGACACAACCGGAACACCAGCGGUGCGUCCACUCCGGUCCUCUCGUACUAGGAGCAGCCCCAACCAAUUCUCCAACGCCCACGGCAGAUAGGGACCGAACUGUCUCACGACGUUCUAAACCCAGCUCGCGUACCACUUUAAAUGGCGAACAGCCAUACCCUUGGGACCUACUUCAGCCCCAGGAUGUGAUGAGCCGACAUCGAGGUGCCAAACACCGCCGUCGAUAUGAACUCUUGGGCGGUAUCAGCCUGUUAUCCCCGGAGUACCUUUUAUCCGUUGAGCGAUGGCCCUUCCAUGCAGAACCACCGGAUCACUAUGACCUACUUUCGUACCUGCUCGACUUGUCCGUCUCGCAGUUAAGCUUGCUUAUACCAUUGCACUAACCUGACGAUGUCCGACCGUCAUUAGCAAACCUUCGUGCUCCUCCGUUACUCUUUGGGAGGAGACCGCCCCAGUCAAACUACCCACCAGACACUGUCCGAGACCACGUUUCGUCAUCUUCGUUAGAACAUCAAACGUUAAAGGGUGGUAUUUCAAGGUCGACUCCAACAAUACUGGCGUAUCAUCUUCAUAGUCUCCCACCUAUCCUACACAUCAAAAUUCAAUGUUCAGUGUCAAGCUAUAGUAAAGGUUCACGGGGUCUUUCCGUCUAGCCGCGGGUACACCGCAUCUUCACGGCGAUUUCAAUUUCACUGAGUCUCGGGUGGAGACAGCCUGGCCAUCAUUAUGCCAUUCGUGCAGGUCGGAACUUACCCGACAAGGAAUUUCGCUACCUUAGGACCGUUAUAGUUACGGCCGCCGUUUACUGGGGCUUCGAUCAAGUGCUUCUCUUGCGAUAACACCAUCAAUUAACCUUCCAGCACCGGGCAGGCAUCACACCCUAUACGUCCACUUUCGUGUUUGCAGAGUGCUGUGUUUUUAAUAAACAGUUGCAGCCAGCGGGUCACUUCGACCGGUUCAACCUUCAGGGGUAAACCCUUACAAUCUACGCCGGCGCACCUUCUCCCGAAGUUACGGUGCUAUUUUGCCUAGUUCCUUCACCCGAGUUCUCUCAAGCGCCUGAGUAUUCUCUACCUGACCACCUGUGUCGGUUUUCAGUACGGUUUAGAUAAACCUGAAGCUUAGUGGCUUUUCCUGGAAGUGUGGUAUCGGUUACUUCAGCUCCGUAGAGCCUCGUCAUCAUCUCUCAGUGUUAAGGAAGUCCGGAUUUGCCUAAACUCCCCACCUACCAACUUAAACGUGCAUAUCCAACAGCACGCUAACCUAACCUGCUCCGUCCCCACAUCGCAGUUUAUCCAAGUACGGGAAUAUUAACCCGUUUCCCAUCGACUACGCUUUUCAGCCUCGCCUUAGGGGCCGACUCACCCUGCCCCGAUUAACGUUGGACAGGAACCCUUGGUCUUCCGGCGAACGGGUUUUUCACCCGUUUUAUCGUUACUUAUGUCAGCAUUCGCACUUGUGAUACGUCCAACAGCCCUCUCGAGCCACCUUCUUCCGCUUACACAACGCUCCCCUACCCAACAGUAUUGCUACUGAUGCCGCAGCUUCGGUGCUAUAUUUGAGCCCCGUUACAUCUUCCGCGCAGGCCGACUCGACUAGUGAGCUAUUACGCUUUCUUUAAAUGAUGGCUGCUUCUAAGCCAACAUCCUAGCUGUCUAAGCCUUCCCACUUCGUUUCCCACUUAAUAUAGACUUUGGGACCUUAGCUGGCGGUCUGGGUUGUUUCCCUCUCCACGACGAACGUUAGCACCCGCCGUGUGUCUCCUGAGUAUCACUCUUCGGUAUUCGCAGUUUGCAUCGGGUUGGUAAUCCGGGAUGGACCCCUAGCCGAAACAGUGCUCUACCCCCGAAGGUGUCCGCUCAAGGCUCUACCUAAAUAGAUUUCGGGGAGAACCAGCUAUCUCCCGGUUUGAUUGGCCUUUCACCCCCAGCCACAAGUCAUCCGCUAAUUUUUCAACAUUAGUCGGUUCGGUCCUCCAGUUAGUGUUACCCAACCUUCAACCUGCCCAUGGCUAGAUCACCGGGUUUCGGGUCUAUACCUUGCAACUAAUCGCCCAGUUAAGACUCGGUUUCCCUUCGGCUCCCCUAUUCGGUUAACCUCGCUACAAAAUAUAAGUCGCUGACCCAUUAUACAAAAGGUACGCAGUCACCCUUUCAGGCUCCCACUGCUUGUACGUACAAGGUUUCAGGUUCUAUUUCACUCCCCUCACCGGGGUUCUUUUCGCCUUUCCUUCACAGUACUGGUUCACUAUCGGUCAAUCAGGAGUAUUUAGCCUUGGAGGAUGGUCCCCCCAUCUUCAAACAGGAUAUCACGUGUCCCGCCUUACUUAUCGUUAGCUUAGUACCAUAACCCGGACUUCGAGUACGGGGCUAUCACCCUGUGUCGCCAAGCUUCCCAGCUUGUUCCUCUGUCUCUGUCAUUAUCACUAACAGGCUCCUUCGCGUUCGCUCGCCGCUACUAACGAAAUCUCGGUUGAUUUCUUUUCCUCGGGGUACUUAGAUGUUUCAGUUCUCCCGGUUCGCCUCAUUAUCCUAUGAAUUCAGAUAAUGAUAGUAGGUUCUUCACCCACUGGGUUUCCCCAUUCGGACAUCUUGGAUUAAACGCCUCUUAUCGACUCAUCCAAGCUUUUCGCAGAUUAGCACGUCCUUCUUCGCCUCUGAUUGCCAAGGCAUCCACCUUGUACGCUUUGUCACUUAA
rnacentral:rRNA from 1 species